rnacentral:rRNA from 1 species
GACGAACGCUGGCGGCGUGCCUAAUACAUGCAAGUCGAACGAAGGGGGGACGGGUGAGUAACACGUGGGUAACCUCCCAUCAGAGGGGAUAACACUUGGAAACAGGUGCUAAACCGAUACUGAUGGAUGGACCCGCGGUGCAUUAGCUAGUUGGUGAGGUAACGGCUCACCAAGGCCACGAUGCAUAGCGGACCUGGGGGGGGGAUCGCCCACACGGGGACGGGGAUACGGCCCAGAUUCCUACGGGAGGCAGCAGGAGGGAUGCUCCGGCAAGGGACGAAAGUCGGACCGAGCAACGCCGCGGGAGUGAAGAAGGUUUUCGGAUCGUAAAACUCUGUUGUUAGAGAAGCGGUAUCUAACCAGAAAGCCACGGCUAACUACGUGCCAGCAGCCGCGGUAAUUC